GGCAACCCUAAAAUCGCAAAAACUAAUUUGUGUUUCUUUCACAGAAAUACUUAUUAAACACAGACCCAGUUAUCGAUCGUCACUCUCUCAAUUCCUCAUUAUCACCAAAAGCAACUGAAAAGAGGCAUAGAAAGAACUAUUGAACCAUUGAGGCUUCCUUUUCUUACAAUACUUCGAACAGUACAGAACACUUAAGAAAACCAAUAAAAGUUAAGUAAUAAAUCCAAAUUUUCCAAUUUAAUCAAGUAGUGGAAUUCUUUAAAAGCUACUCAAACUUCUGUGGUGAAAACAUUUAGAGUGAAUACCAAUCCAUAUUCGGAAUAUCUUGCAAACUCAUGGUGUCCAAGUUCUCCAAAACCAUGUGGAGAUGGAUCUUCAUUUUUGGAAAACAAAAGUUAAAUACUGAAUUCAAGCUGUAAACGACACCACAGAAUUUAUUUCAUCCAACAAAGUUUUCCCGCUUCAAAAACUCUGCAUAAUAAGAUUCUCAAGAACCAAGGCUUUUGGUCUGGCCAUAAAUCCGGCGCUAAAUGCCUGGACUAAGAAGUCGGUCAUUAAACAGAAAUUUAAGUCUGUAAUUUUAAACAGGUAUUUGGAGAACACUGCCGUUCUCGGAUAAAGAAAAAAAACACAACCUAAAAUCCGAGUCAUCAGCUUCACAUACUAUUCAGAACCUUACAACACAAAUUUUAAGUACAGUAGGCAACUUAAGCCAUAAGAAACUUAAACCUUAAUUUUCAAAAAAAAAAAAAAAAAAAAAAAAAAAAUCUAAAAUUAAUUACAAUCUAAAA